rnacentral:rRNA from 1 species
AGCGAACGCUGGCGGCAGGCCCAACACAUGCAAGUCGAACGAACCCUUCGGGGUUAGUGGCGGACGGGUGAGUAACACGUGGGAACGUGCCUUUAGGUUCGGAAUAACUCAGGGAAACUUGUGCUAAUACCGAAUGUGCCCUUCGGGGGAAAGAUUUAUCGCCUUUAGAGCGGCCCGCGUCUGAUUAGCUAGUUGGUGAGGUAAAGGCUCACCAAGGCUACGAUCAGUAGCUGGUCUGAGAGGAUGACCAGCCACAUUGGGACUGAGACACGGCCCAAACUCCUACGGGAGGCAGCAGUGGGGAAUCUUGCGCAAUGGGCGAAAGCCUGACGCAGCCAUGCCGCGUGGAUGAUGAAGGUCUUAGGAUUGUAAAAUCCUUUCACCGGUGAAGAUAAUGACUGUAGCCGGAGAAGAAGCCCCGGCUAACUUCGUGCCAGCCGCCGCCGUAAUAC